CCUACCUUUAGUAUACGACAGGAUUUUUAGGCUAGAUAAAUGCACCUUGGGUCAGACAGUGAUUGAAAACCUCUAGAUAGGCUCUAUGGUCUUCCCUGCUUCACUCCCUGCACAGUGCAUGGACAUCAUCAGAAUGGCUAACUGAUCAAUUCAAACCAACAUGUCUUUUCAAAACGUGAAAGAAUGAUUAGAUAUAAAAAAAAAAAAGGUGUUGACAUUUAGGCACUAUAAUCAUUUCAUCUCAAUUAAGUGGUUGAGUGCCUGGGGUGCUUUGGUACCACCCUCCAAUAUUUUCAAACAGUUACAUACUGAACAUGGUCCCUGACUGCCCAGCUUCCGCUGGAGAUAGGACUAAGGCAGAGACGACACUCCACUUUAGCCAUACAAAGUCAUACUGGCAGCUUUGCUGGUGAGAAGCAAUAACCCGAGCAGCCUGCAGGUGUCUGGGACCUUCAUUCAGUGUUUAAAACAGGCUGAAAAUAUUUUAGCUCUGUAUGGAGGGAUGGCAUCAGAGUUCACCGGGUACUUGAACCACUUCAAUGAAGUGAGGUUACAUUGCAGGGAUAGGCAACCUUCGGCACUCCAGAUGUUGUGGACUAUAUCCCCUAUAAUGCUGACAAUGCAUCAUGGGAGGUGAAGUCCAAAACAUCUGGAGUGCCGAAGGUUGCCUAUGCCUGUUAUAGUGUCUAGAAUGUCCAUUUAAAGUAGCUCCAUCACCUCCCCCCACAAAAAAAAAUAAAAAAUGAAAUGCUAAUAAAGAUGGUGUAGGAAUUUCAUUUAAACUUCAACACAGUCAACAGAUAGAACAAAGUAGGGACUAUUUUACCUUAUUGUAAAUGUCUAACUUAACAAAAAGGUAGAGGCUAGCCCUGUCAUGUUACGCCACUUCAAGAUUGGCUAUGGUACUAAGGUAUUGCAUCGCUCAUCACCAGAUAAGAUCUAUGGAGGUACCCGUGGACCUGUGGUCUCGCAUGAGCCUCCACAGUAAUCAAUGUUGUAUUCUCGUGCAGGUGAAGCGCUGGGAGUUGAGGAGCAAAGAUGGUGGCGUUCACAGUGGACAGAAUCGGGUAAGUAUAACUUAACCCCCAGGCAGAGAUGUCACUAUUGGGGAUUUUGUUAAAUAUGCAAAUACCCCCAGAUAGUGACAGUGCCGUAUUAAGCAAAGAUAGCCCCUUGAGGUUGGAUUUUGUGAAAGUUUUAACAAAAUUAUAAGUGUGUCGGGCUAGAGAAAGUCUGCCAAGGAAGAAAUUGAGAAAAUACAACUGCCAUGGAAGCAUCUGUGUAGAGCCAAAAU